rnacentral:snoRNA from 1 species
UCCCUCUCAGGGUCAUACCUGGAGAGUUUCCAGUCCUCUACCAGUCUUGGUUAUGGGAGGGAGAGUCAAGCAGAUGCCUACCCAUUCCAUUCCUAGCUUGGGCAGUGGCUAGAGUGGAAGGCAAUCUACUAAGUCA